UACGUAGGGGGCGAGCGUUGUCCGGAUUUAUUGGGCGUAAAAGGCUUGUAGGUGGCCACGCCAAGUCGGAUGUGAAAUCUCCCGGCUCAACUGGGAGGGGUCAUUCGAUACUGGCGGGCUCGAGGCCGGUAGGGGGAAGCGGAAUUCCCGGUGUAGUGGUGGAAUGCGUAGAUAUCGGGAAGAACAUCAGUGGCGAAGGCGGCCUGCUGGGCUGUUGCUGACGCUGAGGCGCGACAGCGUGGGGAGCAAACAGG
rnacentral:rRNA from 1 species